rnacentral:rRNA from 1 species
UACGUAGGGGGCGAGCGUUAUCCGGAAUUAUUGGGUGUAAAGGGUGCGUAGACGGGAAUACAAGUUAGUUGUGAAAUCCCUCGGCUUAACUGAGGAACUGCAACUAAAACUAUAUUUCUUGAGUGCAGGAGAGGUAAGUGGAAUUCCUAGUGUAGCGGUGAAAUGCGUAGAUAUUAGGAGGAACACCAGUGGCGAAGGCGACUUACUGGACUGUAACUGACGUUGAGGCACGAAAGUGUGGGGAGCAAACAGG